CUCAUUGCUUGAACCCAAGCCCCAUAUGCUUGUCUGGAUUUGAAAAAAAUAGAAAAGAGGAGUUGAGCUUUAUAGGCUCAGUAAAUUUUCAAUUACUCUGAGGGAUCAAGUAUAAAUUAUAUUUUUAUUUAAAUCAUAGUAAUUUGACAAAAAUAAGAUACAUGUAUAAUAUAAUAAUUUCUCCAAAUAUGCUAUAAAUAAUAGUAAAGCAUAAAGUCUUUUCUC
rnacentral:lncRNA from 1 species